GGUCGAGCGGUACAGCAAGUGGAUGCUUGCUCCCGGAUGUUAGCGGCGGACGGCUGAGUAACACGUGGGUAACCUGCCUGUAAGACUGGGAUAACUCCGGGAAACCGGAGCUAAUACCGGAUAGUUCCUUGAACCGCAUGGUUCAAGGAUGAAAGACGGUUUCGGCUGUCACUUACAGAUGGACCCGCGGCGCAUUAGCUAGUUGGUGGGGUAAUGGCUCACCAAGGCGACGAUGCGUAGCCGACCUGAGAGGGUGAUCGGCCACACUGGGACUGAGACACGGCCCAGACUCCUACGGGAGGCAGCAGUAGGGAAUCUUCCGCAAUGGACGAAAGUCUGACGGAGCAACGCCGCGUGAGUGAUGAAGGUUUUCGGAUCGUAAAGCUCUGUUGUUAGGGAAGAACAAGUGCGAGAGUAACUGCUCGCACCUUGACGGUACCUAACCAGAAAGCCACGGCUAACUACGUGCCAGCAGCCGCGGUAAUACGUAGGUGGCAAGCGUUGUCCGGAAUUAUUGGGCGUAAAGGGCUCGCAGGCGGUUUCUUAAGUCUGAUGUGAAAGCCCCCGGCUCAACCGGGGAGGGUCAUUGGAAACUGGGAAACUUGAGUGCAGAAGAGGAGAGUGGAAUUCCACGUGUAGCGGUGAAAUGCGUAGAGAUGUGGAGGAACACCAGUGGCGAAGGCGACUCUCUGGUCUGUAACUGACGCUGAGGAGCGAAAGCGUGGGGAGCGAACAGGAUUAGAUACCCUGGUAGUCCACGCCGUAAACGAUGAGUGCUAAGUGUUAGGGGGUUUCCGCCCCUUAGUGCUGCAGCUAACGCAUUAAGCACUCCGCCUGGGGAGUACGGUCGCAAGACUGAAACUCAAAGGAAUUGACGGGGGCCCGCACAAGCGGUGGAGCAUGUGGUUUAAUUCGAAGCAACGCGAAGAACCUUACCAGGUCUUGACAUCCUCUGACAACCCUAGAGAUAGGGCUUUCCCUUCGGGGACAGAGUGACAGGUGGUGCAUGAUGUCGUCAGCUCGUGUCGUGAGAUGUUGGGUUAAGUCCCGCACGAGCGCACCCUUGAUCUAGUUGCCAGCAUUUAGUGGCACUCUAGUGACUGCGGUGACACGAGAGGUGGGGAUG
rnacentral:rRNA from 1 species